GGUUGUUGCUGCAAAUGAGAAUGUGUUCCCAGUCAAUUUACCUGGUAAAAUAACAGAUAAAUACAUUUCAGGAUCCAUAUUUUUGCCUUUUUAAGGUAAAGGACACCUGAAUUUAUAUUUAUAGCCUUUUGGAAUCAACAUUUUACACUAAAUAUGAACUGAUAUUUCCUGGGGACAGAAAAGGCACCCCAUUGUAGGAAUGACCCAUCUAGCUGUUUAGGCUCUUCCCACCAGUUGUAUAUGUUCAAAACCAGUUAGCAACGCAUUACUAUCAAGUACCGACAUACAGUAUUUAAAUGGGAACUUGUUUCACUCACUUCUUUGUCAAUGCUACGCUCUCUUUGUGCGAUACAUACUGUAGAAUUCCUGUCUGUCGAGUGCUGUGAGAUGGGGCGACUGAGGAAGAGGCACAACUGGAAGGGACAGAAGCAGGAUGUUUCCGAAGAAACAGCCCUGACCAAGAAACAAAGGAAACAUCUGCAGAAAGUCCUGGAGGUCAAAGAGAAGAAAGUCAAGAUAACAUGUUACAUCUGCCUUCUCCGAGCCAGACCAGCCCAGUUUCCAGGGCAGACAUCCUGACCAAGCUGGGUGAGGUGCAGCUGCCUGACUGAACUAAAGUUGCUUUACACCACCUUAAUACUGGGCACAGGAGACAAGCAGUACCAGACCCAACAGUAAGGCAGUGGGACUGUGCCAUGCCAUUGUAGCAGCAGCAUUUGGUUUAGUAACACUUUCCAUAUGCUCAGGACUGCUGAUGAGGUAGUUGACGGAGCCUCAGGGAGUUGGAUCAGCAGCCUGCGUGGAUUCAACAGGAAGGGGAAACGAAGAGCACAGGAAGAGUAGGCGGAAAAGGAGAAGAGUAGUGGUUGGACUCAUAAUCUGAUGAAGAGGUGGAUGAUGGAGAAUGGAGGGUUGGAGGCCACUGAUGUCCCUGAAUCUAAAGAGCCGGCCUCCUCCUGUCAGGAGAUUGAGGUGGAGGAGGUGAAAAAGGAAAAGAAAAGAAGAGAAAAAGGAGGAGAGCAGAGAGAAGUCAGGCCCCCCAGUAAAAAGGAGGAGAGGAGAGAGAAGUCAGGCCCCCCAGUAAAAAGUAGGAGAGGAGAGAGAAGUCAGGCCCCCCAGUAAAAAGUAGGA